GCAGUCGUGGCGGAAUUGGUAUACGCGUUAGACUAAGGAUCUAAUGGAUAUUAUUUCCUUGGGGGUUCGAGUCCCCCCGACUGCA
rnacentral:tRNA from 2 species